rnacentral:tRNA from 1 species
GCCGACGUAGCUCAGUCGGUAGAGCAACUCCUUGGUAGGGAGUAGGUCGCCGGUUCAAUUCCGGCCGUCGGCU